GACGAACGCUGGCGGCGUGCUUAACACAUGCAAGUCGAGCGGUAAGGCCCUUUCGGGGGUACACGAGCGGCGAACGGGUGAGUAACACGUGGGUCGACCCGCCCUCAGCUCUGGGAUAAGCCUGGGAAACUGGGUCUAAUACUGGAUAUGACUCCACGGUGCAUGUCGUGGGGUGGAAAGCCUUGUGCGGCUGAGGAUGGGCCCGCGGCCUAUCAGCUUGUUGGUGGGGUGANGGCCUACCAAGGCGACGACGGGUAGCCGGCCUGAGAGGGCGACCGGCCACACUGGGACUGAGACACGGCCCAGACUCCUACGGGAGGCAGCAGUGGGGAAUCUUGCGCAA
rnacentral:rRNA from 1 species